AACAAUGAUUUCCCUAGUAACGGCGAGUGAAGAGGAAAGAGCUCAAAGUUGGAACCUGUUUGGCCUAGCUAAACAGGAUUGUAAACUGUAGAAGUGUUUUCCAGGCAAUCCGAGUUAAUAAGUCCUUUGGAACAGGGCAUCAUAGAGGGUGAGAAUCCCGUCUUUGAUUCGAGAUAUUUUGUCUUUUGCGAUACACUUUCAAAGAGUCAGGUUGUUUGGGAAUGCAGCCUAAAUUGGGUGGUAAAUCUCACCUAAAGCUAAAUAUUGGCGAGAAACCGAUAGCGAACAAGUACCGUGAGGGAAAGAUGAAAAGAACUUUGAAAAGAGAGUUAAACAGUAUGUGAAAUUGUUAAAAGGGAACCGUUUGGAGCCAGACUGGCUUGUCUGUAAUCAAUCUAGGUUUCGUGCCUGGAUGCACUUGCAGACUAUUUGCCUGCCAACGACAAUUUUUUUUGAGUGUAAAAACUAUUGGAAAUGUGGCCAAUAUUUAUUUAUUGGUGUUAUAGUCCUUUAGAAAAUACCUUGAAUUGGAUUGAGGAACGCAGCGAAUGCUUCUCUUUUGAGGCAAAGUCUUUUAUUGGGAUUUACGGAUCAGACUGUGGCAUUGUCACAAGACUUGAAAGUUUAAACCUAUUUUUGAACUUUUAUUCGCUUAGGUUGUUGGCUUAAUGACUCUAAAUGAC
rnacentral:rRNA from 1 species